rnacentral:rRNA from 1 species
AACGAACGCUGGCGGCAGGCUUAACACAUGCAAGUCGAGCGCGUAGCAAUACGAGCGGCAGACGGGUGAGUAACACGUGGGGAUCUGCCCGAUGGUACGGAAUAACUCAGGGAAACUUGUGCUAAUACCGUAUGUGCCCGCAAGGGGAAAGAUUUAUCGCCAUCGGAUGAACCCGCGUCAGAUUAGCUAGUGGGUGUGGUAAAGGCGCACCAAGGCGCCGAUCUGUAGCUGGUCGGAGAGGCUGAUCAGCCACACUGGGACUGAGACACGGGCCAGACUCCUACGGGAGGCAGCAGUGGGGAAUAUUGGACAAUGGGCGCAAGCCUGAUCCAGCCAUGCCGCGUGAGUGAUGAAGGCCUUAGGGUUGUAAAGCUCUUUCGCCGACGAAGAUAAUGACGGUAGUCGGAGAAGAAGCCCCGGCUAACUUCGUGCCAGCCGCCGCAGUAACAC